AUUGAACGCUGGCGGAAUGCUUUACACAUGCAAGUCGAACGGCAGCACGGACUUCGGUCUGGUGGCGAGUGGCGAACUGGUGAGUAAUGUAUCGGAACGUGCCCAGUCGUGGGGGAUAACGUAGUGAAAAUUACGCUAAUACCGCAUACGAUCUAUGGAUGAAAGCGGGGGAUCGCAAGACCUCGCGCGAUUGGAGCGGCCGAUAUCAGAUUAGGUCGUUGGUGGGGUAAAGGCCCACCAAGCCAACGAUCUGUAGCUGGUCUGAGAGGACGACCAGCCACACUGGAACUGAGACACGGUCCAGACUCCUACGGGAGGCAGCAGUGGGGAAUUUUUGACAAUUGGCGAAAGCCUGAUCCAGCCAUUCCGCGUGCAGGAUGAAGGCCCUCGGGUUGUAAACUGCUUUUGUACAGAACGAAAAGGUUUCUACUAAUACUAGGAGCUCAUGACGGUACUGUAAGAAUAAGCACCGGCUAACUACGUGCCAGCCGCCGCGGUAA
rnacentral:rRNA from 1 species